GACGUAGGAUGCAAGCGUUAUCCGGAAUCAUUGGGCGUAAAGCGUUCGUAGGCGGCAUGUCAAGUCUGAUGUUAAAGCCCGGAGCUCAACUCCGGUUCGGCAUUGGAUACUGGCAAGCUAGAGUGCAAUAGAGGUAGGGGGAAUUCCUAGUGUAGCGGUGAAAUGCGUAGAUAUUAGGAGGAACACCGGUGGCGAAAGCGCCCUACUGGGUUGUAACUGACGCUGAGGAACGAAAGCCAGGGUAGCAAAUGGG
rnacentral:rRNA from 1 species